rnacentral:rRNA from 1 species
GACGAACGCUGGCGGCGUGCCUAAUACAUGCAAGUAGAACGCUGAAGAGAGGAGCUUACUCUUCUUGGAUGAGUUGCGAACGGGUGAGUAACGCGUAGGUAACCUGCCUUGUAGCGGGGGAUAACUAUUGGAAACGAUAGCUAAUACCGCAUAACAAUGGAUGACACAUGUCAUUUAUUUGAAAGGGGCAAUUGCUCCACUACAAGAUGGACCUGCGUUGUAUUAGCUAGUAGGUGAGGUAAUGGCUCACCUAGGCGACGAUACAUAGCCGACCUGAGAGGGGGGACGGCCACACUGGGACUGGGACAGGGCCCAGACUCCUACGGGAGGCAGCAGUAGGGAAUCUGCGGCAAUGGGGGCAACCCUGACCGAGCAACGCCGCGUGAGUGAAGAAGGUUUUCGGAUCGUAAAGCUCUGUUGUAAGUCAAGAACGGGUGUGAGAGUGGAAAGUUCACACUGUGACGGUAGCUUACCAGAAAGGGACGGCUAACUACGUG